ensembl:lncRNA
CACCUGUAACUCACGUGACCCUGAUUAUUAUUGAAACGAGAACGAGGGCGUUGUGCCUUUAUAAGACUGCGUUAUUGUUUCCGUGGAGUUAUCCCUUCCGUUGUUGUUUAUUGAUUGUUAAACAUGGCUUCAUUUGCAAAGGUGGUUGUGUGUGUCCUCAUUGCUUGUGUCUGUAAUGCAUUCUGUUUUCCGAAGAGAGAUGUGAACUUUAAGGCCUCUGCAGUUGACCGCCAAAGUGAUGAUGUGGUUGUCACCACAACACCUGAUCCCCACAACCAGACCACAUCUGCCCAUACUGAAGCUGGUGGUGGUGCAAGUGAAGAUGCUGUGGCUACUACCCCACCACCUAAUCCACACAACCAGACAACUUCUGCACAAACUGAAGUUACAGAUGGAGCCAGUGAAGAUGCUGUGGACCGCCAAAGUGAUGAUGUGGUUGUCACCACAACACCCGAUCCCCACAACCAGACCACAUCUGCCCAUACUGAAGCUGGUGAUGGAGCAAGUGAAGAUGCUGUGGCUACCACCCCAACACCAAAUCCCCCAACUACAUCUGACCACACUGCAGCUACCGAUGAUGCAAGUGAGGGUGCUGUGGCUGCCCAAACUGGAACUACUGUAUCCCAUACGACUGAAGUCUGAUUCGACUGCUCCUCUGGUCACAAUGACCUGAGUCACUGUCUGGACUUUUUGCCUCUACAUGUUGACUGCAAUAAAGGACAGAUUU